rnacentral:rRNA from 1 species
CGUANACACCGCCCGUCACAUCAUGAGAGUUGUUUGUACCCGAAAUUAUUUUAGCCAACCUGAAAAGGGGGCGGAUACCUAAGGUAUGUAUGGUGAUUGGGAGUG